UAGGGAAUCUUCCGCAAUGGACGCAAGUCUGACGGAGCAACGCCGCGUGAGUGAAGAAGGCUUUCGGUUCGUAAAACUCUGUUGUUAGAGAAGAACAGCGCAUAGAGUAACUGUUAUGCGUGUGACGGUAUCUAACCAGAAAGCCACGGCUAACUACGUGCCAGCAGCCGCGGUAAUACGUAGGUGGCAAGCGUUGUCCGGAUUUAUUGGGCGUAAAGCGAGCGCAGGCGGUCAAUUAAGUCUGAUGUGAAAGCCCCCGGCUCAACCGGGGAGGGUCAUUGGAAACUGGUUGACUUGAGUGGAGAAGAGGAGAGUGGAAUUCCGUGUGUAGCGGUGAAAUGCGUAGAUAUAUGGAGGAACACCAGUGGGGAAGGCGACUCUCUGGUAUGUAACUGGCGCAAAGGCUCGAAAGCGUGGGUAGCAAACAGG
rnacentral:rRNA from 1 species